UCGAGUGUACUCUCCAGCCUGG
rnacentral:misc_RNA from 1 species